ACACGUGAGCAUGCACGCAGUCGACAAAAAAAGUUUCCGGGAAGACAAAACAAGCCGCUGUUGCCUUUGUGUCAUGUUUUGGUGUUUGCACGUCUGCGUGUGUGUUGAGUCAGCCGACAUGCAGACUGAGGGUGAAGUGCCAUCUCCAGGUUGGGGAGGAAAUCUUGCCCCAAGUGAAGGAGUUCAAGUACCUCGGAGUCUUGUUCACGAGUGAGGGAAGAGUGGAUCGUGAGAUGUCGUGUGGUGUCUUCAGUAAUACGGACGCUGUAUCGAUCCGUUGCGGUGAAGAAAGAGCUGAGCCGGAAGGUAAACCUCUCCAUGAGUUGAUUGACAAUUGCGAUAUCCAAUCAGAUCACGAGUUGUUGUCAGUAAGGCCCUCUAGCUGGCCUCAUGUUAAACGUGACAUGUAUGCAUCCUGUGAUUGGAUACUCACUGGUUUGAGCCGCCGCGGUGCUAUGCAGAUCAGCAGAGCCAUACACGGGACCAUUACCGGAUGAAUUUGAGGACACAUACAGGUGAUAGACAGUUGCGAUAGCCCAUCAGAUCACAAGUUGUUGACAGUAGACUAUCUAGGUAGCCUGAUGUUAACGAGACUGUGAUUGUAUAUUCACUUGUCAUUCCAAAGUGAAGUAGGAAGUGUUGACCCACAAAGACGGAAAACAAAAUGUUGAUUAGAUGAGAGAGAUAUAUUUGCAAGGCCAUUUUCAAGAAGGAUAUUUCAAGAGAAACUACAUAUUGUGAGACGAUUUCUGGCCAACCCCGGAAGCUAGCUCAGCUGUCAUGAAAUAGGGAAACGCCCGCCAUUUCCAUUCGAAUCAUCCGAGGGGUACCACUGGCUUAUACGGCGUUGAAGGGGUGCUACAAAUUGUGAGUUCAAAUAUCUUAUUUCUGUAUUUUUUGCACGUUUAAUAUGUUUUUUGCCAUUUUAAUUUUGACAGCACCACAUAAAAUAUGUUUUAAUUGCUGAUGCAGGUUUAUUGAUUUUCAAAUACGCCAGAAAAUAACCCGUUUUGUACACUGUUGAUGUGGUUUGAGUGCCCAUUAGUGCGUGAAUGUGUAUCUGCAUAGUAUAUCUCCAGCAAUGGUCAUGUGGUGACAUCAAUUAUGGUAUUUUGAGAGGUAAUCAUCGAAGUUGGACAUCACUGAAGGCCUAGGUGGGAAACGCACGACCCGACACUGCUUCUGCAGCACUGUAACACAUGCUGACCUUUUUAAAACUCAAACAAUCAUUGACGGCAUGUCCGAUAGGCUAAUUAGUUGGAAUCCACUCAAGUAAUUUGCGAUGAUUAAAGGAACUUUCACUUCA